GUCAUGAGAUCCUUAGCUGAAAUAACUAACACUAUCAUUUCAUUAUGAUUGUUUUAUAUUUGAAGUAAAUAGCAUACUAUGCCACCACACUAUGCUUACUUUCAUUUUGACACCGUUAAAAAACUAUGAGUACCACCCCACAACAAAGAGGGCAACAUUGGUAAAGUUCCAUUGGAGUAGAGAAUGCUCAGAAACACUUGCUGUGCUUGCAGUGGAUCCCCACACUCUGGCGGGGUGCAUGAGAUUUGGCAACUGUCUUUCCAACUUCCUGUUUAAGGGGCAGUCUCUGGUACGUGAUGUACAGGAAUGCAACUCAAACAUAGACGCCAAGACGGGAUCAGGAAAUUCCUGUAUGCAACGGGAGCCUUUCCAAGGGUGACGCUGCAAACUUUGCUAUUGCAUCAAAGGAAUGGUCCAAUCCAGCCCCCCCUGUGCACCUAACCAAGGCAGAAAGAAACUUUAAUUUGUAUUGACGCUUAAUCAUGUCUAUGGAAAGUGUCCGACCUGUCACAAAUAAAAAGCUCUUCACG